CCCUUAGAUGUUCUGGGCCGCACGCGCGCUACACUGAAGGAAUCAGCGUGGCUUUCUCCCUGACCCGAAAGGGUUGGGAAACCCGUUGAAUCUCCUUCGUGAUAGGGAUUGGGGCUUGAAAUUGUUCCCCAUGAACGAGGAAUUCCCAGUAAGCGCGAGUCAUAAGCUCGCGUUGAUUACGUCCCUGCCCUUUGUACACACCACCCGUCGCUACUACCGAUUGAACGGUUUAGUGAGGGCCUCGGAUUGGUCUCGGCCCGCUCUUUACCGGGCGGCGCCGUUGGUCGAGAAGACGCUCGAACUUGAUCGUUUAGAGGAAGUAAAAGUCGUAACA
rnacentral:rRNA from 1 species